rnacentral:pre_miRNA from 1 species
CACGUACUCCCCCCGUCCCGAAUUAGUCGACUCAGAUUUGUCUAGAUACGGAUAUAUCUAAACACGUUUUAGUGUUAGAUACAUCCGUAUAUAGAUAAAUCUAAAUCAACUACAGUAAUUUGGAAUGGAGGGAGUACGUG